UUCGUUUGCCCAGAACUGAAUUUAUUCAUUGCUUUUGUGCAGCAUACUUAGGAGUUUACUUGCUUCGUUUACCACUGGAUCUGCGAAAAGAGCUGAGAUUUCAUCGUUCCUUCACUCAGGGACCUCAGAUCUCUUCAGAAGGACGAGUGAGACCAAUUAAUGUGAAUCGCAUACACAGGUGAGGCGUAAGGAGAAUUUCAGCAUCCCAGGCGACAGCCCUGUGCUUCCACAAGAAGUGUUUGGAAAGCUGCCACCACCAGCUGCACCAGAAGAGGCAACAGCACGAACAACGUUGUUGAAAACCUCACAUAUAUCAUGCUGACCGGAGAAGUCUGUGACGUAGAUCCAUGUUCACCACUGAACGAUCCAGCCUUGCCACUCUCCGGACCUGUGCAAGGAUUGGGUCACCUUCCCUGCAAACACACAGUGCACCUUCCCACUUCCAGCUUUGAUUUAGAAAAUACCGAUGAAGUUAUCUUCUGGACUGUUCAGAUUUGGUAGGAGCCAGAUUUAUCAGUCCCGGUUGAUUCAGGAGGGUGAGGAAGGUCUGAUAACAGGGGUAGUUUGUCUAAGGAUGACAUUGGCAUGGCACAGUGUGGUAUAAGGUCACCUGCACUGCCUCACUGUGCACUUCCACUUGUAUUUCUCUGGCGGCCAGGUGAGUAGAGGAGUUGUCUUAAACUUCCUGGCACUUUUAAAAAGCCUGGAUCACCCCGCCGACCCUGUUUAUAGCACAGCGGCACAAACAAGCUGGUACAGCAUUGCACCAUGGGGGAGAGUGGGGGCAGGACUGGUUUUGCUGUUAGGUACGUGUCACGUCAAAGUGCACCCCAGCUAUGAGGAGCUCAUCUUCAGCACAGCAGCCAUCAGUUCAGGCAGCUUGUCACAGUCCUGUGUCCCUACAGCUUCCCACAGGGGACCAAACUUCUCCCAGGAUUGCUUGGACUAGUGAUAGAACACACAGACUUUGAUUUUAAGUGGCUGCAUACUGUGGCAUUUCUAAAUAUGUCCAGAGCAUGGGAUGCGUGUAUAUUUUAAACCAAAAUAUUAUUUAUUGGCUUUGGAGCUUUCCCUUCUCCAGUUUCUGCCUACCGGGACGGUGCUGGAUUUCUGUUUUGUUUGAAAUUUAAUCUGAAAACAUAUAUAUCAUUGAGUGUGGUGGUGCAGAGCCAGUUCCAGGGCUCUCGGCAAUGGAACCACUCUGUAUUUAGCCACAGGGAAUACAUUUUGGAGGGGUCAGUGAAAGUUUCAGGGAGCUGAAGUCAAGUGGUGGAAGGUGGCCAGCUGAACUCCAGAAGUCUGUGGUGCAAGUCUCUGUAGUCUCUGUAGUGCUCCUUCCCUGUACUCUGCCUUGCAGUAAGGGCCUUCAUCCCACACAGCUAUCAGCCACCACCUCCAUGCAGCGUGGGCACCCGCUCCCUCCAUCUCACCCUCUUCCCUUCCCAGCAGACUAGACACUUUCUUACCCCUCUUGACAUCUCUUAAGUGUGGGGGGAGCUGGGCAUGUCUCCUGACAUAGCUGGGCCGAGAGGGCUCCUACCCCAUUUGCACCCCGACCAGCCCCAGCCGUGGGGUCGUCAGGAGGUAGCAGGGCUCAGCGCCUCCGGCAGUGACACCUCCUCCAGUGCAGGCAGCCCGGAGCGCCUUGCCACCAGCCCCCCUGCGCAGCUGCCCGCCUUUUGCCUAAAUCCAGGCUUGGGUAUGUUUUAAUCUGAUUAUCAAUCACCUGGGAAGCCUGGACUGACACAGGGGAAACUACAAAUUGUUAUCCAUUACGAUCGGCACGGUAAAAUCAUGACAUAGCUCAACUCUGGCUUAAAUGAGGAAGUUUUUAACAAAGCAGUCAUGUCAAGGAAAGGUGGCGUGGAAGGAGCACAUGGCUAACCAACACCUGUGCCAGCCAAAAUCCGAUUAGUGACGUGGUUAGACUACUCCAGCGGAGGGGACCAGAGGGGUGUAGUUCUCCCAGUGAAGUGAUAGGAGCGUGGUCGAGAGCUAAGGGCUAACUGACAGCAGCGUGGUAUAAAAUCGCUAUGACAUUUUCAAGGAGUAAAAGAAGAGCUUUAAAAGAGGUGGCAGCGUGUGCGCAGGGAGAGUUGUGCUAGCCAGCCCUCUAGUGGGAAAAACAGCUUCACAUGGGGUGAAGUGUGAUUGCAGCAAAGCUCUAAGCCGGUUUUUAUCAGGUACAACUGCAUCUUUACGGGAGGUUUCGCUGACAGAGCUUGCAUCUGCUAGGGUGCGCGUGAUUUCUUUUUUUCAAACUAUUAACUAACGCAACAACGCGGGCAAGACUUGAAAACGUAGAUCAAGCUUAAAGCUAAA